rnacentral:tRNA from 1 species
AUGGUUGUAGUCUAAUUGGUUAGGAUAUUUGGAUCGCAUCCAGAAAGACCUGGGUUCAAGUCCCAGCGAUGGAA